UUGCUCACUUUGGCAGCACAUAUACUAAAACUGGAAUGAUACAGAGAAGAUUAGCAUGGCCCCUGUACAAGCAUGCCAUGUAGAUUUGUGAAGCAUUCCAUAUUUUU
rnacentral:snRNA from 1 species